CCUACGGGAGGCAGCAGUGAGGAAUAUUGGACAAUGGGCGCAAGCCUGAUCCAGCCAUGCCGCGUGCAGGAUGACGGUCCUAUGGAUUGUAAACUGCUUUUAUACGAGAAGAAACACCCCUACGUGUAGGGACUUGACGGUAUCGUAAGAAUAAGGAUCGGCUAACUCCGUGCCAGCAGCCGCGGUAAUACGGAGGAUCCAAGCGUUAUCCGGAAUCAUUGGGUUUAAAGGGUCCGUAGGCGGUUUAGUAAGUCAGUGGUGAAAUCUCCCCGCUCAACGGGGAAACGGCCAUUGAUACUGCUAGACUUGAAUUAUUAGGAAGUAACUAGAAUAUGUAGUGUAGCGGUGAAAUGCUUAGAGAUUACAUGGAAUACCAAUUGCGAAGGCAGGUUACUACUAAUGGAUUGACGCUGAUGGACGAAAGCGUGGGUAGCGAACAGGAUUAGAUACCCUGGUAGUCCACGCCGUAAACGAUGGAUACUAGCUGUUGGGUGCAAACUCAGUGGCUAAGCGAAAGUGAUAAGUAUCCCACCUGGGGAGUACGUUCGCAAGAAUGAAACUCAAAUGAAAUUGACGG
rnacentral:rRNA from 1 species